ensembl:lncRNA
UGCAUCUGGAAGAAACCAGCUACUGCAGAUGAGUCACCUAUUUUGUGUGGUUGGUGCGUUAUAGGUUAUGCAUAUAUUGCGUGGAUGGCGCGGGUAGGUUCUAUUACACCCACGUUUCAAUACAGUCCCUCGCAGUGACGUAGAAAGAGCAAUGUGUGUGAGUCAGAACAACUAGGAAAUCCCCCAGUGAGAGUUACGACAGAAGGUGCUGUUCCUUUAAGCGGAGACUUCCUAAAACAAGCACGACACGAAAGGAGCAAAUAAACAACAACUGCCGGGGGUAGAAUAACAUCGAAUAUACCGUUUACCGGGAUUAAUCUUGUUCAUACAAACGACGGAUCUUUAAGGUGUGUCAAAGCACUAUUUCUGCUGAUUUCGCUUAUCAAAAAUCCCAGAACACUGUUGAAAGCCAUUGCGGAAGUAAACCCAACCUCGACGUGAGAAGAGAGAAUAGGAGGACACCAAGUGGACUCAACGGAGAAAUACUGCGCGCGACCUUCUGUAUGGGAGAGAUGUACGGAUCGUCAGGAAUGCCAGAUCUGAUUCCAUCGAAUGGCCCGCGACAGCCCGGUCCGGCCGGCCAGUUCAACCCGGGACAUAGGCCGGUAGCACAGAAUGGGCAUGAGAGGCCCAAUCCCCAGAGACUAGGGCAGCGGGCGCCCAAGCUCGGACAAAUUGGUCGUUCCAAGAAAGUGGACCUAGGGGAUGAGGACGUGGAUGACAUCAUGAAUAAUAAUGGCCAAUAAUAAUGUUCUGUGUCUCUCACCCAUCUCCUAAACCACACCACAUGUGCCAAUGAAGAUCUUUGAAGCCAAACUCAACUGAAUCAAUUUGACCUUGAUCAAUCAACUUUACAAGUGACCUCCCCUGAAGCUUGGCCUAGAAUAUCAUAGCUGAAAAGCUCAUCGUGGCACAUUGAGGGACAGUUCUAUUGCCGGAAUUCUAGACAUUAGUUCUAGACAUUAAUUGUAGGAUUCUAUAGACCUUUGCAUCAAAAGCUUGUAUAUUGCGGUUAACUUGUCUGUUGUUAUACUGUGAAUGAAUUGUACUGAAACUUGUUCUACUCGUAUUACCUCUGUAGUGGACUAUCUGCACUUGGGAAAGUACAGUGUGGCUCGUCUUUAAAGCUUCUAAAGGGCUACAUUUGAAAAAAAGUUGCACUCUUUAAAUGAUCAUGUAAAAUGAAAUGGAGUAGGAGUGCUGAUCUAGGAUCAGGUCCCCACUUGUCUAUAGAAUCUUAUUUAAUAUCAUCUUAAAGGCAAGUCCGAUCUUAGAUCAGCACACAGAGGCUACGAAUCCAGUUUUCUUCUUGGUUACUGAUUUUACAAGGUGGAUGUUGUGUAGAAGAAGGCAGGACGGAAGCCUGUUAACAUGUAACGUACAGGUGGAACAUUGAGCUGCUGUCCGUUGUGAUUUAACCUAAAUCUGUGGUUCUCUCACCUUGUGGAGUAUCAGGUUACUGCUGAAUAAUCACUGUUUUGGAAAGCAGGGACAGUUGGAAAAGGUUACUACUGGUCAUUUCUAUUUACAAAAAAAAAAACAUUUUUGGUUUAUUACCUUGUUUUAAAUCAAUUAUGGAUGGCUAUUAUUUCCCCGCACAUUUCUUUUAAAGAGUUGAUAUAAUAUAUGGUUUAUGUUGUUUUUUCUUAUCUUAUUGCGUAAUGGUGCACUUUGUGGGAAUGACUGUUAAAUAUGUGACGAUAAAACUUUAAAUAUUUCUAUGCACGGAUUCUAUUUAAGCAUCAAGUCAGGGCAUACUUCCUGUCCAGAAGGGCUACUUUCUUCUUCGUUGUUUAAAUGUUUUUUUUUUUAUCAUAAAGGGUGAGUCCCAAACGGGACCCUAUUCCCUACAUAGGUCCUAUGGGCCAUAGUCAAAAGUAGUGCACUAUAUAGGGAAUAGGGUGCCGUUUGGGACACAUCCGAUAUUUCGUGUGGACUAUAAGGACAAUGUUGACCUAACUAAUGCCUGUAACUUUCUUGUACACUGGUCACUACUUUCAGUGAAACAUUGCAUUUCACAGCAUAGCUAAUAGUGGCGCUGUCAUGAUCACAUGGCUUAAAUGGAUGGAAUAUUUAUGUGCAUUGGGAAUGUUUGCAUGAAAAUGUGAUGAUUUUUGCAUAAUAAUUCAUGAUUGGUAAUAAAGGAGGGAAGAGCUUUUCUUUUUGAAUGGAACAUUUAUUAUAUCAUUAUGAUUGAAAUGCAACCUCCAGAAUUACACUCGCCCAUGUCGUACUUCUAAACAGCCAAAUACGAGCCCCCAUGUCGAACCAAAUACGACUAAGAACACACAUCACCCGUUGUAUAAUAUUCCUGUUGUGUAUUUUAUUAUCAGAGAUGUUCCAUAUUGGGAUAUUGAUAGUUAUAACAUUGCAUUUGAACUGUUGUUAUGAGAAAACAAGAACCAUUGGAUCAACUUUCAAUAAAAGAAAGACGGGCUAGAUAUACAAAUUGUACAAGAACAUGUAUUAUAUUGUAAGCUACAUGGCCAUUUAUUAAAAUAAAAAUUUCUAGAAACCUUUUGGACAUCUUACAACCAUAGAAAUAGAAUUACUAUUUAGUAAUCUAGUUACCAUUACAAUCUAAUAAUUGUAUUUCUAUGCUUACAACAUCACCUAAUACAAAAGCACCCAGGGUUAAAAUUCCGCUGAGCAUCUUUUCAGUCAAAGGCAGGAUGGUUGAGCUUUCUCAGUGAUCACAAAUAUCAAACAUUAAAUAUUAUUUAUGCCAUCUAAAGCUAAAAGCAAAAACACAAGACUACACUAGCACUUGGGAAUGGUACUACCAUAUUCUGCUACAUUUAAAACACAAACAGAGGCUACAAUCAGAACUCAACUCUAGCAUACUAUAUAGAAUGCAUUCCAAACAUAUUGCUCCGUCCUAGGUAGACUGCUAGUGUGGACAUCAGAACAGAGCAAGACUUCAUACAGAGUAAUUAACAAAUGGUCAAACACAUAAAUAAAAACCUAAUAAUAUAUAUAGUGUAUUACAAUAAUAAAAACAAACUCCUUAGUAAUAGUGAAGGCACCUGUUAAGAAUGACUGUGGUGAAAGAUAUUUUAUAAUGGGAUAGAGUAUAUUGCAGGCCUGUGUGAAAAGCCCUCCCCCUUUUGGAGUGCAGUAGUGAAUUGCUUGGGGAUUCACCAUAGUGUAUGCAGUCACUCACAACUAGUGUGAAGUCAACACUUGGCUUGAACGCCAUUGGAGACAGUCAUGUCUACAGAAAACUCCAUUGUAAACGAACUGGUGGCGCGCUAGUCCCUUUUACUAUUAUACAUACAUAGACAUCCCCUGAGUAUGCCAAAAGUAUGCCCUUAGCACCACACCGAGUUGAAUUUAUUACCUUCAAUUACAAUGGAAAUGCUAAAUUAAAUACACAGUGUUUCUUACAGGGGGGUGAGAGUGUUUGCCAUGAUGCUGCAUCUUGGCUGUAAUACGAGAAGUGUGUGUGUGUGUGUGUGUGUGUGUGUGUGUGUGUGUGUGUGUGUGUGUGUGUGUGUGUGUGUGUGUGUGUGUGUGUGUGUGUGUGUGUGUGUGUAAUACGAGAACAUACACCCUAAGACACGGUCUGUUAAUAUAAGGCGCAUCCAAUAACCAAUUACAGUGUAUUUGUGAGGCCCACUCAUA